UUCUUGCCGUUGGGCUAAUCCCUUCUUCACAGUGCAGUUUAUUUUCAAGAGGCUGUUGCGUUGCUGCUUUCCCCUCCCACUCCUUCAGUGCGACAGCCUCAGAGCUGAUGAAGAGACAGAGAGCACGCAACUGGAAAAACUUCAGACGUGGAAUUCAUGGAUCAAAUGGUCACCAGUUGUUUCCGCAUUAUGUAUUGAAUAACACAACCUUCUUCCUCUGAUGAGAAGUGUCAACAGCUCUUCUCCUGUUAGAUAGGGUGUAGCUUUCCACAGGUCAGCCAUUUUCUCUUUACUCAAGAUGGUUACAUUCCAUAAUAGUACUUUUACCUUCUUGCUACAUCCAGCAGCCUGCUAAAGCAUCAUGUUAAGACUUUUUCCUUUCAAGAAUCCUAGCUGUAUAUAGUUUAGAACAGUUAUUUUCAAACAGGAUGUGUGUGUGUGUGUGUUAAAUAGUUAAAAUGUUAAUUAUUAUUAUUUUUUUACAAAUUAGAAGUUGGUGAAUCCAAUGACAUAGAAUACUGAUCCAGAUGUUAUUCCAAAUGUUGUUCCUUUUGGAUGCUCCUGACAUUCCAGUUGUGUGUUUGGAAAGUACUUCAGGGGUCAAUGCUUAUCCUAAGGAUUUCUGUUCCUCAGGUAUUUAGAGAAUUAAAGCUGUGUGGAUUUAGUUCCUGGAAUUUUCUAGAGGGAAAUGUAAGAAAUGUAUGAGGUGAAUAAAUGUUUUCAAUUAUGUCGCUAGAACUAAUAUGAUCUCAGAAUUUAAAGGAUGGAGAUGAGUCUCGAUAGGUGGUACCACUGUCAUUAUCUCUUCAAGACAGGAAAACACCACUAUGCUCCAUUUCUUUGUGCUGCAAGUGGAAGGGUCAAGACAGGAAACAUGGAAGCUUUUACUAGGAGGUAAGUUAAAUAGUAACAGAAGUAUUUGACAGUUAAAAAUCACCUGCUGUUCUCUGUUGCACCCUUUACUCUCCAGCACAGCUUUUCUCCCACCCAGCAACUUCGAACCACAGCCACUGGCCUUUUCUGAUUUUGGAAGGAAAAGGAAGAUGUUAAAGGAAAAUGCCUGGAACCAGACUUCUGCCUGCAUUGUACAACUAACUUGUCCUAAUACCCAUACUGACCAAAUGAGAGACACGUAUUUACCCUCACAGAAUGCAAACACCUCUCACAUAGCACACAGAUGACCUAGAGCAGAAUGUUCCACUACCCCUGAGGCUCAUUCGUGUAUAUCACAGCAAAAAGAUUUGCCCCUUAUUACAUCCCUUCCAUAUCACUGGGCUCUUUUAGAUAAACACAGGUUCUCUCCAACUCAGAGACCAAGCUAAAGGACAUUUAUCAGCUUCACAUGAUGAGACUUGUCUCACUGUGGAGACAGUGCCUAUAGCACAGAAAAUCUCAACAUUGUAGCUCAUCUUCACAUCACACAGAUCCUGUCAAGAACACACAAAGUAUACAGACUUCAUUUAUAAAACACAGAUUUCUUCCCAAGCACAUAGAUUCCCCUCAGAAAAUUUAAGUACUCCCCCCAGCAAGCCUCUUCCCACAGCAAAUCGUCCCAUGUGUGCUCCACCAACUGAACUCCUGGGUGAUGAAGUUCUUGUGAAACAGACCUCCCUCACAUCACUCUAACCCUUGCAAAACCAAGCAGCCUUGCCCACAACACACAGACUCUUGUCACAUCAUGGAAACCUUCACCACAGAACACAGACUGUCCACAGCACAGCUUCACCACAUAGUGCACAUAGUUUCUCCUUGAACACAGACAUACAACACAGCUCAAAUCCCUUGCCUUGGCACAAAAACUCACCCAAUAAACAAACUAUCCCUCUGACAAAUAAACGAAUGCCAUGUAACAAAGAUCGUUCCAACAGGACACAGGCUUAUCUCUUACUACACACACACCUUCCAUGGUGCACAUUUAUCCCAUGAAACAUAGAUUGAAUUUAUGGUACAGAGACAUUCCCAAUAGCUCUGAGCAUGCUUACUCCACCACAUAGCAAUGCAGAAGUAUAACCCGAAGCACGUAGAUCAUGCCUUGUUAAACAAGAUUUUAAUUUAAUAAACACAGUUUUACUACAAUGUACCAAUUCAUCUCAUGAUAAACAUACAUUGCAAACCUGCAUUGCAAACACCUGCCUCAGAGGCACUCAUUUGCCACACAUUCCAGAUUUGCAGAAUUACUCUCUAAGGUACUUGAGUUCCCUCCCCACAGUAUCCACACUCAACCCACAAUCCAGGUGUAAACUAUAACAUGUGAACACACAUCUCAGAAGACCACACUCCACUGCCACAAUGCUCAGAAUUCUCUAACAGCAGUGUAUUUUCUAUACAUUUCAUCUCACAAAAUCAACACUUCUUACAGUGGAUUUACAGUCUAGACACAUGCCCCCAAACACAUGAAACCAGUGUUUAAGUGACUCUCAGAUUUACCACAAGCACCCAGACUGUUUCACUGUUACCUACAGAACAAGAUGUGCCUAGCAUAUGCAUAGAACUCUAAUAGAAUGCACAGAAUCUACUGUUAGUAUACAUACUUGCCUCAUAACUUUUAUAAAUACUUUCAAACAGUGAUACCCUAAAUGUACAGAUAAGCCAUUCAGGUCACAGAUUUGCCCUAUAAUAUACUCAAUCAUAAUUCAUAUGUCUUAAAAGUUAUAGACAUACACGUGAAUGCAUAGAGUUGUUUUACAUUGUGCAGUUACAACACUUACUUUAUAAUGCAAGUAAAUAGCAAUUGUGUAGACAUAUAUACAUAUGUUACAUAUAUAAUACAUGUAUUAACUCCACUUGCAAAGAUUUCAUUGUAGAGGACAGACAUACUUUACCAUAUCAAUGAGCUACAAUUCUGGCUGACAGCAGAGAUACAGCUUGAUAUUCAUUAAGAGCAAGGCCUCUGGACCCAGGCUUCCUGGGCUUGCCUCCAGAUUCCAUCCUUUCCUAAUUGUAUCACCACAGAUAGAUUUGCCUUAAAAGACAAUCUUGAUCCAGAUUACUACAAAAACACCGUACAAGACCUAGAGUGAAUCUGCAAUGUCUAUCGAAACUCCUCCCUGAACACAAAAAUAUUACCUAUAAGUCUCAGGACCUGGGAAGAUGGAGAAAGGACUUCAUCAAUGGUGUACAUUUGCCACCUAAUGACCAAACCGAGUAAGUACAGUACUAGUGCAUAACCACAAUUUUCCCAACUACUUAACACCCUGGAAAGAUGUGUACACGAGUUAACAUGCACUACAUCAUAGUGGUUUCUGCUAUGUCUUGAAAUGCAAGUAGUAAUCAAAUAAAAUUUCACCUUUCAGAAAAACCUAGCCCCAUUUCCUUUCUUUCCGGGUUUUCAGAGACUGUUCUCUACCAGUGGUCUUCACACCUGCUAAAAAUGCGCCACCUAACAGCACUUUGAGAAAUUCUUGACUCCGAGGAUCACUAUAUUUCUAAUGCUCCUUUUUUUCUUCUAUUCCACUGUGGAAUUGAACCCAAAGUCUUACAUAAACUAGGAAGGUGUCCUGCCACUGAGCAAUGUCCUUAGCCUUUAUUUUUCAUGUUUACUAAUGUGAGAACUCAAGUAGCUUUUCAUAUAGGUAAUUAAAAAUAAAUAGAAUGCAUAUUUAAGUCACAAGUAAAAAACCACACAGUGACUAUUAUCAAAAACCAUUUUUUAGUCUGAAGUGAUGAUGCACAUCUGUAGUUCCAUGGCUUGGAAGACAGAGGCAGAGAUAUUUUAAGUUUCAUGCCAACCUCAGCUUCAGGCCAACUUCAGGUAUGUAGUGAGAUGAUCUUUCAAAAAAAGAUUUUGAGACGUGAAUGUAGAAAGAGGACUACUUGAGAGGAGUAAGGGAACCAACAGAAGUGAGGGAGGUAAGAGGAUAAUGGGUAAAUAUGAUCAAAAACAAUAUCUCCAUUUAUGUGUUCAUGAAACCUAUUGUGUAUAAUAUAUACUAAUGAAAAAUAGAAGACAGAACCAAAAACAUGAUUGAACUAAAAACGUUUUUCAAUGAUUUAAAAAAAUAAUAAGUAAAAUUUUAAUAGACAACUUGAAUACUAUCUCUAAUUUCAUGAAAACAAAGGACCCCAUGAUUUAUGAAAAGAUGCAUUGGAGCAAUUGAUGUUUUCAAUUUUUAGGAAGCUUAUCAGGAUAGCUUUAUCAAUACUUAUCAAAUGAUUAUUUGAUUAAUUAUACUUUGACUUGGGGAAAUUCAUUUUAGUCUACUAUCCUUACUAAAGAUUGGGAGAAUCAAAAUACAUAGAUCAAUAUGUGCUUGCCAAAGCAAUAAUUUUAUUA